UACGAAGGGGGCUAGCGUUGCUCGGAAUCACUGGGCGUAAAGCGCACGUAGGCGGAUUCCUAAGUCAGGGGUGAAAUCCCGGAGCUCAACUCCGGAACGGCCUUUGAUACUGGGAAUCUCGAGUUCGGGAGAGGUGAGUGGAACUGCGAGUGUAGAGGUGAAAUUCGUAGAUAUUCGCAAGAACACCAGUGGCGAAGGCGGCUCACUGGCCCGAAACUGACGCUGAGGUGCGAAAGCGUGGGGAGCAAACAGG
rnacentral:rRNA from 1 species